CCCUUAGAUGUCCUGGGCCGCACGCGCGCUACACUGAGUGUCUGAGAUACGAGUCUGCCUGGUCCGGCAAGGUCUAGGUAAUCGCUAAAAGACACAUCAUGCUUGGGAUAGAUUAUUGCAAAUAUUAAUCUUGAACGAGGAAUUCCUAGUAAGCGCAAGUCAACAGCUUGCGUUGAUUACGUCCCUGCCCUUUGUACACACCGCCCGUCGCUACUACUGAUUGGAUUUUUAAGCGAGGUUCUCGAACUGCUAGCGACUUAGCUUCGGUGAGGUCGCAGUGUGGGAAGUGAACCUAGCUUUGGUGUCUAGAGGAAGUAAAAGUCGUAACA
rnacentral:rRNA from 1 species